UGGGGAGGCAUGUUUAGUGUAAAACUGUUAAAAAAAAUUAUUUAAAGCAUGAUGGAGCCAGUGUACUCCAGGUACAAUCACCACUCUCCUGAGAUGAAAUGGCUAUUGUGGCUGAAGUGUUCCUUUAUGUACUUUAGAUAAAGUAUUUACUUUUAUUGUGAUUUCUAUGUCUGAUAGGAACAGCACAUAACUUUGUAAUCUGCAAGCAUUUGAUGUUGAC